rnacentral:rRNA from 1 species
CUACGGGACGCUGCAGUCGGGGAUAUUGCACAAUGGAGGAAACUCUGAUGCAGCGACGCCGCGUGAACGAAGAAGGCCUUCGGGUCGUAAAGUUCUGAUGUGAGAGAAGAAGAUAGUGACGGUAUCUCACCAGCAAGCACCGGCUAACUACGUGCCAGCAGCCGCGGUAAUACGUAGGGUGCAAGCGUUGUCCGGAAUUACUGGGCGUAAAGGGAGCGUAGGUGGUUAUAUAAGUCUUUAGUAAAAGGCAUUGGCUCAACCAAUGUAGGCUAGAGAAACUAUAUAACUUGAGUACAGUAGAGGUAAGUGGAAUUCCUAGUGUAGCGGUGAAAUGCGUAGAUAUUAGGAGGAACACCAGUGGCGAAGGCGACUUACUGGGCUGUAACUGACACUGAGGCUCGAAAGCGUGGGGAGCAAACAGGAUUAGAUACCCUGGUAGUC